rnacentral:rRNA from 1 species
UACAGAGGGUGCGAGCGUUAAUCGGAAUUACUGGGCGUAAAGCGUGCGUAGACGGCUAUCUAAGUCGGGUGUGAAAGCCCCGGGCUCAACCUGGGAAUUGCAUUCGAGACUGAAUAGCUAGGGUACGGUAGAGGGAAGUGGAAUUUCCGGUGUAGCGGUGAAAUGCGUAGAUAUCGGAAGGAACAUCAGUGGCGAAAGCGACUUCCUGGACCAGUACCGACGUUCAGGCACGAAAGCGUGGGGAGCAAACGGG